rnacentral:rRNA from 1 species
GUGGGGAAUAUUGGGCAAUGGGCGGAAGCCUGACCCAGCGACGCCGCGUGGGGGAAGAAGUCUUUCGGGAUGUAAACCCUUGUUGUACGGGACGAAGGAAGUGACGGUACCGUACGAGGAAGCCCCGGCAAACUACGUGCCAGCAGCCGCGGUAAUACGUAGGGGGCGAGCGUUGUCCGGAAUCACUGGGCGUAAAGCGCACGUAGGCGGGCUGUCAAGUCGGCCGUGAAAGGCACGGGCUCAACCUGUGCAUGUCGGUCGAUACUGGCGGUCUGGAGUAUGGGAGAGGGAACUGGAAUUCCCGGGGUAGCGGUGAAAUGCGUAGAUAUCGGGAGGAACACCAGUGGCGAAGGCGGGUUCCUGGCCCAUGACUGACGCUGAGGUGCGAAAGCCGGGGGAGCGAACGGGAUUAGAAACCCGUGUAGUCC